GGUCCCCAGAACAUCCAAAUUCCUCACCUGGCAGGGGCGGUGAGUUAUAUGGGCCCGUGGUGCCCAUGCUCCAGGAAUAUUCAGGACUCAGGGGCCCGGCUCCACCAAUUUGCGGGGCCAGGUCUCUCCCCUGGCCCUGCCUGCUGUCCCCACGCACCUCCCCUGGAGCAUCUCCUGACCCCGUCUGCUGCCCCCAGGCGAUUUAAAAGGAGCCCCGGCCGCCACUGCCACCACCGGCAAUAUAGUGGGGCUAUGGCGCCUUCCUGCCCACCCUCGCUCCGCACUGCUCCCGGAAGCAGCCGACGCAUCCCUGUGGCCCCGGGGGGGAAGUGUAUGUCCGUGCACUGCCCCCACCCUGAGCACCAACUCCACAGCUCCCAUUGGCUGGGGGCGGUGCUGUGGACAGCGGCACAUAGAGACCCCCCCCGACAUCCCCCACCUAGGAGCUGCCUUAGGUUGCUUUUGGGAGCCGCCCAAGGUGCCUGGGAGGAGGAAGAGGCCGGACAGAAGGAAAGAAAGAGCAAAGCACCAACAGCCAGGGAGGGAAGGGAGGGAGAAAGCAAAGCAAGAAGAGGAUGAGGAAGGGAAGGCAGGAGGAGGUAGAGUUGAUGCUAUUAACAACAUACCAGCUGAACUCUAGUCCCCGCCGGUUCUGCACACUCGCUUGCUGCAGGUUGGGUUAGUCCUGGGCACAGGCACCAGAGUGGAACAGCAUCUGCCUGGAAUGUGCCCUCCCACCCGUCAUGCCUGCCGAGCCAUGGCAGGGGUCAAGUACGAGCUCAAUGAGAUUGCACGGCAGCCCUCUUGACUCACCCAGCUGGGGCUAUGGAAGCCUCUUCCAGGAAUCUCGCAUGGUUUCCCAGCCCGAAAAACAAGCCGAGAACGAUAACAACAACAAGCCCCAGGAGCCCAGAGAACUGCUCCCCUGCCCUCUCUUGCUGCAAAACGCCUCUCCUUCCCCUCCUUCUGCCUCUUGCUUGGGAGUAUCCCAGCGAGUCCUCAGCCGGCUGCCCUUGCUGGGUUCAGCUGCUGUGCUGUUGGCGUGUAUCUGACAGCAUGACAGUCCUGUGUGUGUGUGUGUGUAUAUCUCCCAGCCCCAGAGGCAGUGCCUGCAAAGGAUCGAGUGGUGAUAGCAAUGUGGAUUUACAGAGCCAGUCAGAGCGUGUGUGUGUGCAGCUCCCCACCUCUGCUGCUGGCUCAGUCCAUUUCUGAACAAGAGGAGAAUUAACCAGCAUCAUGACGAAGCAGUAUUUGUGAGAGGUGGCGGCUCUCCAUCUUGCUCUCUCUCCCUCCCUCUGUUAAUUUUUGUUGUUGCAAAAUAAAAUGAAAUAAACGCUCUGUGUCGGUGCCAAAAAUAACAUGGCAGAAUGGAAGGGAGAGGAGUGGGUUGGGGAGCAAUGGGUAGAACUCCCCCCCAGAAAAUUCAGGCAA